rnacentral:rRNA from 1 species
GAUGAACGCUAGCGGCAGGCUUAACACAUGCAAGUCGAGGGGUAUAGGUUUUCGGACCUAGAGACCGGCGCACGGGUGCGUAACGCGUAUGCAAUCUACCUUUUGCAGAGGGAUAGCCCAGAGAAAUUUGGAUUAAUACCUCAUAGUAUAUGGACUUCGCAUGGAGACCAUAUUAAAGUUCCAACGGCAAAAGAUGAGCAUGCGUCCCAUUAGCUAGAUGGUAAGGUAACGGCUUACCAUGGCUACGAUGGGUAGGGGUCCUGAGAGGGAGAUCCCCCACACUGGUACUGAGACACGGACCAGACUCCUACGGGAGGCAGCAGUGAGGAAUAUUGGACAAUGGGCGCAAGCCUGAUCCAGCCAUGCCGCGUGCAGGAUGACGGUCCUAUGGAUUGUAAACUGCUUUUUACACAGGAAGAAACAACGCUACGUGUAGCGUCUUGACGGUACUGUGAGAAUAAGGAUCGGCUAACUCCGUGCCAG